rnacentral:rRNA from 1 species
UACGUAGGGUGCGAGCGUUGUCCGGAAUUAUUGGGCGUAAAGAGCUCGUAGGCGGUGUGUCACGUCGAUCGUGAAAACUUGGGGCUUAACCCUGAGCUUGCGGUCGAUACGGGCAUCACUGGAGUUCGGCAGGGGAGACUGGAAUUCCUGGUGUAGCGGUGAAAUGCGCAGAUAUCAGGAGGAACACCGGUGGCGAAGGCGGGUCUCUGGGCCGACACUGACACUGAGAGACGAAAGCUAGGGGAGCAAAUGGG